CGGCUGAGUUCCUUCCCCCACCUUCCAGCCCUGAGCCCUGAGAGGGGGAUUGAGCCUGAGAGAGGAGAAGGAGUUUCUUCUUCUUCGAAAACCCCCAUCCACGACUCCUACCCCCUCACCCCUCCAACUCGCCUCCCUCCCGAGCCCCCUCCACCCUCCUCCUCUUUGGCCGUGAGAGGAGGAGAGAAAGAAACCAAAAGCCUCUUAGCAACACAGACCCUUUGCUGCUGCUGUUGCUGCUGCUGCUGCUGUUGCUGCUGCUGCUACUGCUGCUGCUGCUACUGCUGCUGCUUGGCCCUGGCUGGAGACAUCUCACUACACCCAGGAGCAGCCACUUCCCCAGCUCUCCUCCUCCUCCUUCGCCUCCUCCUCCUCCACUCCCCCCCUUUAUUACCCUUUGUGUCAUCCUCCACAGCUCCAGGGAAGGCACUCAAAAGUGGGGGGCAGGAAAGACAAUUAUCAACUUUCCAGUUUUCUAUGGAUAUGAAGAUUUACUCCUAGUCAUCAGUGGGACCCCCAUGAAGUCAGCCAGAAAGCCUAUAUCCAACUUAUGUACCUUUGCAAACUUGUCUGGAUUUUGACUGUAUGUGCAAAACAGAUUGUACUUAGCGAUUCAUUAAACAUCUUUUGAUCAUCUGCUGUCUGCCAGGCACUGUGCUAGGCAUCUGAAAAACAAAGAUGGUCCCUGCAGUUUAAUGUGAAGAGCUAUCUUAAUUGUAUUCCACAAGUGUAUUGGUCGUAUCUUUGUUUUGGUGUUUCUACCUAAAUAAAUUUUAUAUUAACUAAAUGGAUACUGUUAGGUGGAAAAAUGCAUGUUUAAGAAAGAUAUUGCUGUUAUUUUAUUAAAAUACAAAUAUAUAAAGAAAAAUUUUCCACUUAAUACUGUAUUCUAGGGAUUUAUAUUCUGUAUAUAGUUAACACAUUUUAGACAAUGAAAAUAGCCUAUGUGGUUGCCUUUGCUGGAUUUUUAUUGCUAACCGUAAUUCUUUUAAGAUGACCAACAAUGUUCAUUAAGUUAUCUCAUUAAAUUUUUCCAAAAAAAAAAAAAAACACCCCAAACCCUCUAAACUUAAAUCUUUUUCUCAAAAGUAACUUUUUUCUUUUUUAUCUCAUAUAACAGAUUAUCAUUCAUGAUUCAUUGGAAGACAUUGUACAUUUUCAUUUUGAGUUUUCAGAUAUUUUCUACCAAAUUUUAGCAAAUCUAACAGCAUGAUUUAAUUAUUCUGCAGUAAUUAGUGUGCGCUAUUUAGGAGUUUUGGAAUUUUUAGUAUGUAGUAGAAAUAUCAUUGCAAAAUCCUCAUAAGAAACUUCCCAAUUCUAGUUCUAAGUCAGUUGUAAUUUUUAAUCUUUAUUAAGUGGUAUAAUUUCUAUAGCUUUAGUAAAAUGAAUUGGAAUUUUCUUAGUAGAUAGAUGUUUCAAAAACAAAGAAUCUUAUCUCAGUUCCUGUCAUGGCUUUCAUGUGUAAUCGAAAAGUAUAUUAGAAAAAGUACUGGAUUCAAUUUGCCUUUCUUAAAGUAUACCUUUUACAAAAGUAUUGAUUUGCAGUUAAAAAGAAGGUGGGGAUGCCUCUGCUGGUGCAGUAUCUUGUGAAGAUAAAUAGACUCCUGAGUGGUGAAUUCUGAUCUCUUUCACGUUCAUUCUUAACUUUCUAUUUUAGUAAUAAUCAUAGUUACCAUUGAUUAUAAGUACCCAGCACUGUGAUAAAUUGAAUUCACAUUACAUUUAUGACACUUUCUAAUUCAAAACACAGUCACAGUAGAGUUUUUAUCAAUCUGUACACUGGUAAGCGAUGGUAAAAUUAUGGCCCUGAUAGCUUGACAGACUAAUGGAAAAUUUCUGAAAGUUUACAAGUACAGAAAAACAAAGAAAAAAAACCCAGUCUUUUAUAAGGAAUGUAGAUACAGACCAUUGUACAAUUUAAAAUAUACAUAAUGUCAGUCUUUUCUUUGUAUGGCAAAAAUGACAUUUGGGAACUGCUCAUGGUGACUCAACGCUUGUAAUGUAAUCCCAGCUACUCGGAGGCUGAGGCGGGAGAAUUAUUUGAGCCCCAGAUUUUGAGGCUGCAGCGAACUAUGCAAUCCAGCCUAGGCCACAGAGUGGGACCUUGUCUCUAAAAAUAAAAAAUAAGGUCAGGUGGAAUAGCUCAAGCCUGUAAUUCCAACAAUUGGGAGGUGAGGUAGGAGGAUUUAUCACUUGAGGCUAGUAGUUCAGGGUCAGCCUGUGCAAUGUAGUGAGAUCUGAUCUCUACAAAAUCAAAAUAGUAGCUGAGCUUGGUGUGGUGCACACUGUAGUCCCAGCUACUCGGGAGGCUGGAGAGGAUCUCUUGAACUCAGGUUGAGGCUGCAGUGAGCCAUGAUCAUGCCACUGGACUCUGUGCUGAGCAACAGAGUGAGACCCUGUCUCUAAAUAAAUAAAUAAAUAAACAAACAAAAAAAUAAACAGUAAAAAAAAGUUCAGUUCAAUCCUUAUCUGUAUUAAACUUCCUUUAACUUGUGUGGAGUUACAUUUAAUAUUUUCUUAUAUGAAGUUCAAAGGUUGUAACAAUUUCUGAUCCAAUGAAUAUUUACUAUAAAAUUUUUAAUAUAAAUGUGUUGAUGGUGUAAAAGCCCAUAAAAAAUGGGAAGUUUAUAUUGUCUUGUGCUUUGGUGUAUGUAUACACAUUACCUUCUGGACUCUAUCAUACAUUUUCAUAAUUACUACAUUACAUAUAUAGGAUUAAGUUUAAUGUACUCUUUUUAGUACCAAAGUCAGAAAUAUUUUGGUAUAAGAAUGAUCAACUUGUUGGGUUCUCUAGGUGCCUAAAUUAUUUCAUAUUUGUACUUAAAAGCUACUGAAUUAAAAUACUUUUUAAUACAGUUCUCUUUGGGUAGUUGAGUUUUACAUCCUUUACUUUUAAGAGAAAAAAAUUAAAAACUUUUUCUCCUGUUUUUAUUACUUAAGUAACUUUUGUGUCUCUUCUAAGUAAAUACAUGUUCAUAUUAUAAAUUUAUACAGGUUGAGUAUUCCUAAUCCAGAAUUCCAAAAUCCGAAAUGCUUCAAAAUCUGAAAGUUUUUGAGCACUGACAUGAUGCUCAAAGAAAAUGCUCACUGAAGCAUUUUGGAUUUUGGAUUUUGAGGUUAGGGAUGUUCAAUAGAUAUAUAAUGCAAAUAUUCCCAAAUCUGUAAAAAUCCAAAAUUCUAAAUACUUCUGGUCCACAAAACCUUUUGAAUAAGGGAUAUCAACUUUUAUUGACUCUAUCGUCCUGCAAAUAUUAUGCCAGUACAUAAUGACCUGCAGAGUUUGGAAACAUUUUUAAAUGCUAAAGAAAUAUUCUUUAUCAUCUGUUAUAUAUUAGAAAAGUUUAUUGCAAAUGUUUUGUUGCUUAUAAGAAUAAUCCGAAUAAUCAGUAGUGUGAUCUUAAAUAAUUUCUUUAAACAACCCAAAGAUAAUUCAGUUAAAAGUAAAUAUUCUAACUCUAACACUUAGAGUAUUUCUGUUGGAGGUAUUUCUAUGUCAUGUAAGAUGUCAGAAGCUGGGAUGACUCACUGUAACUCACUAUAACUCUUCAAAGAGACAGUGAGAUCCAGGCUUAACUUAUAUUAUGGUAUAAUUUAUUCAAAGUUGGAUAUCACAAAUUUUGAUUUGAGUCCUUAUUUCAGUUGACCUAUAUAACCUUUUAUUAGAGAACUUGUAAUUAAGUUCAGUGUCAUUGAGUAGAUUAUUAGAACACAUUGUUUUAAAGGACUAAUAUGAGUUAUGUAAAUCAGUCACCAACCUUGAAAUGGUGAAAAGUUUUUGUACACAUAUGCUUCACUGAAUUCUUCUGCUAACCAAUCAAGAUUCUAGCAAUGGGAGGAAAAUUUUCUGUGUGGUGCUAAUGUUAAAACUUAAGUUCAUGUGUAGCUUUUAAAAAAAAAAUUUAAUAUCUGUAUCUCAGAAGUUAGAAGUAAUCCUGAAGUGUUUUUUAAGAUUGACUGUGUGCUAAAUUACACUUAGGGUUAUCCUUGUAUUCACAAUUACUGUUUUUUAUACACCAUGAGUCCAGAAGUAUCUACUAAUCUGUUGGCCAUCAACUAACUUAAUCCAUACAUUCUUAAUAUUAUUAGGAUCUAAAAAUAAUAAUUUAGACUGUAUAAGUACAUUUACUGAUGUUGGGGGAGGGAAA
rnacentral:sRNA from 1 species